rnacentral:rRNA from 1 species
GACGAGCUCUCCAAACGUUAUUCGGUAUCACUGGGCUUAAAGAGUUCGUAGGCGGUCUGGUAGGUGAGGUGUGAAAUCCCCCGGCUCAACCGGGGAACUGCGCUUCAAACCGCCGGACUUGAGGGAGACAGAGGUGGGCGGAACAGAUGGUGGAGCGGUGAAAUGCGUUGAUAUUGGAAGGAACGCCGGAGGCGAAAGCGGCGCACUGGAUCUCUUCUGACGCUGAGGCGCGAAAGCUAGGGGAGCAAACGGG